ACGUGAAGAAGGAUGUGGUGGUAGUGGGCGCAGGGAUCGCGGGGCUCUCAGCGGCCAGGAAACUAAUCGCCAAAGGAUUCUCGGAUGUCCUCGUCUUGGAGGCUCAGGACUACCUCGGUGGAAGAGUCAAGACCCAUAGGGAAGGAGACAUUCUGACGGAGGACGGGGCCGAGUGGAUCAAUGGGGGCUGGAUGAACCCUCUUUAUGGUCUCGCAGAAAACCUGGGCGCAUUAACUCAGCCACUGCCAGAUAGUGCUUACGACUGGAGGGUCAAGACGCAGUCCGGGCAAGAGGCGGACCCGCGAGGCUUCGACGCUGCGGCCUGGCUGAUGGAGGAGUGCGAGAAAGACGGCGUCCUUCAGAACUACCACGAUAAGGGAUAUGGGGAGUGCUAC